CUAUAUUGUUCAAUCUUUGCUUGUAUUGUGUCAACUGGCCUAUCUGACACGAUCACGACAGGAUUUUCCUCCCAUUGAUCCCAGUGCUCUAAUUCCUUGAGCAAGCAUCUUCAGUAAUUACUAUUAUCGGAGUCAAUGGUGUUCGGUACUACGCCAAUAGCAGAUAAGGGAAUAGAAUCACAGGAUGAUCUUCUUCGACGUCGAAAACAGCACAUUGCUCGCCGAAAUACUCCCAAAAGAAAUACGACGAGUGCUUUCAAUCGAUUUACUAAAAAUUCUAUUGCCAUUGUAAUAUCGGCAUAAAACCUAACCUUUUUUGUAUAAUGUUAGGAAAAUGUAUAAGAAAUGAUUUUAUAUAUUGUGACAAUUUAAGAUUGAUCAAAUGCCAUUUUAUUGAAAAAUUUUUAGAACGAUGUAAUUAUCUUGUUAUUUUAUACUUGUUUUAUAAAUAUUAAUAACAAGCAAGUAGUACUUCGUUCGGCAUGCACUUAUGAAAUAAUAAAAAGGUUAUCGAAAAAUAUCGAUUAAAAUCUGUAUGUCGAUUGUCGACUUAUUUCAACAGGUUUCUAUCGCUAUUGGUCACAAUUUGAUUUGAUUGCUUUUAAUCGCAAUUUGAAUUUGAAAUUUCUCUAUUAUUGAGAAAUAAAUUUAUGUACGAAAUAAAUUAAUUAAAAUAAAA